AGCUGUGUUAGAAUCGUUCCCUAUCUCAGAAAUAGUUCCCUAUAUAGUGUGUUCACACUUUUGUACAUUAGUGGU